UUAAAUGGCUGCAGUAAUUUGACUGUACAAAGGUAGCAUAAUCAUUAGUUUUUUAAUUAAAAGCUUGUAUGAAAGGUUGGACGAAAUAAAAUCUGUCUCUUUUUAAUAUAAUUAGAAUUUAAUUUUUAAGUUAAAAAGCUUAAAUAAAUUUAAAAGACGAGAAGACCCUAUAGAGUUUAAUAAUUUUUUUUUUUAAUUAAUUUAGAUUUAUUUAUUUUAUUUUAAAAAAAUUAUUUUAUUGGGGUAAUAGAAAGAUUAAAAUAAUUCUUUUUUAAAAAAAUCAUUAAUUUAUGAAAAUUUAUGAUCCAUUGAAUUUUGAUUAUAAG
rnacentral:rRNA from 1 species